rnacentral:tRNA from 1 species
GGUCGCUUAGCUCAGUUGGUUAGAGCGUGGUGCUAAUAAUCCAUCGCUAGGAGCAUAGCUCCUACAAAGGACCCUAGUAGACGCCAAGGUCGCGAGUUCGACCCUCGUAGUGACCA